GAAAAUAUUAAUGUUUGAUAUUAAAAUAUUGGCCAAGAUAUAAAUAUGCAUUGAAAUUAAAUCAAAUCCAAGCAAAUUAAAGGGAGGGGUAUGAGAUAUCGAUGCAUAAUCACGAGAUAUUUAAUCGCGUGUAGGGUGAAGCGGGGUGUGUCAAAUUAAUUAAAAAGGAUUCGUUACAAAGAGUAAAUUAUAUAGCAAAGUUAAUUAGGUACAGUAGUUUCUCCAGAGAAAAUAUUUAUUAAAGAAAAUAUUGUGAAGUAAAACAUCGAAGGAAGUCAUAGAAAUCACUGUCAGUUCAGUAAAACUGAAGGAUCCCCAGUGUAUAAAAAUGAGGUAAGUCCAUAAGUCUAUUUUAGAAGUAAAACUGUAUGCUUGAAGUUGACUUUAUAAAUUACGAACUUAUUCAUAUGUCUGACAGCGAAUCCUUUAAUUAUGUACGACAGGGAUUUCCUUGCCUGAUAGUGUGCCAUAAUUUCGACAAUCAUAUAUUUUAAGUAUAUGCGUUUUUAUAUAACAGCUUAUACAUUUCCGAAAGUUCCGCAUGUAAAUUAAUUACUUGUUUACGUGUACACAUAAUUACGGUCUGUAGUCGUGAAUUUUCCUACACUUUGGUUUUACGAUACGACAACCAGCAUUUUUUCCAUCAAUGUGGAAAAAAAGUUGUGUAAUUUCAUCAUUGGAUCUCUAUCUGAAAUGACAUCGCGUAAUUUUCUCAGUCCAUCUGGGUACGAGAAAACUUCAUCCAGAAAAUUUAAUUAUUGCUUCGGAUAACGCACAGCUACUAAUGCAAGUACAUUUUGCUAUGAACUUUGAAAAUAACGUCAAAACUAAAUGAAAUUAUUUUGCAAAAUUUUUCACGCAACAUUAAAAAAAAACACACACUUAUUGGCUAGACACUCUCUUGCUCAUAUAAAUCAUUAAUCAAUUUGCUAAUAAAUCUUAUUAUAAGUUGCUUGAAAUUUGACGAUUGAUUUACAUUCGUUAAAACUUCCGCUAUAAUUUAUUGUCACGAUUUCGUGACUAUCUACGUCAUUCUGUAAAUCCCUCGGAAGCAGAUAUUUGCAUGAAUAUAAUAAUAAUUAUGCAUGAAUAUACAGAAUCAUUAAUGACUGGACUUGGUCAUUUCCAUAAAAGUUUUUCUGCAUGGAAUUUAUGUUGAUUUACAAAGUUUCAUAAAAUAGUUCUUCAUUGUCUAUCGAAUGUAUACACUGCAACUACAAUACAGACAUGAGACAAAGGUCACAGAGUUCAAAAUACAGGAUAAAACCUUCAGUCAUUCUUUUUAGUAUAACACGAGCGAAAAUGUAUGCAUCGUUUACCUGCAAGACGCAAUUAACGUAGCAUAAUCACAUCGAAUUUACCAUACGUGUUGUUAUAAUUCUAAUUAUUUUGCGAUUUCAAUUAUUUUGUUCAUCACCGCAGGAUUUCAAUUUAAUUGCUACUAAAAAAUAAUCGACUACACAACUACAUUUAUAGUGUUCAAUGCAAUCGGGAAUAUCUCUAAUUCGUGCUAUUGCGUACGUGCCAUGCAAUUUCAUUGCUGUGUAAAGACGUUGCAAAAAGAAAAAGGGGAAGAUCAUUACGAAAAGAAAAUUGUUACGAUCGAUACCAGUCGAUACAACUCCUACUGCGUUCAGUGAUGUGCAACGUCAACAAUACUUAUCAAUACAUUUCCUAUUUCAUAUACGAGUAAAAUAAAACAGCAAGACAUUA